rnacentral:rRNA from 1 species
CCUACGGGAGGCAGCAGUGAGGAAUAUUGGUCAAUGGGCGCGAGCCUGAACCAGCCAAGUCGCGUGAGGGAAGACGGUCCUAUGGAUUGUAAACCUCUUUUGUCUGGGAGCAAAAGACGCCACGCGUGGCGUUCCGAGAGUACCCGAAGAAAAAGCAUCGGCUAACUCCGUGCCAGCAGCCGCGGUAAUACGGAGGAUGCGAGCGUUAUCCGGAUUUAUUGGGUUUAAAGGGUGCGCAGGCGGACGAUCAAGUCAGCGGUAAAAUUGAGAGGCUCAACCUCUUCGAGCCGUUGAAACUGGUUGUCUUGAGUGAGCGAGAGGUAUGCGGAAUGCGUGGUGUAGCGGUGAAAUGCUUAGAUAUCACGCAGAACUCCGAUUGCGAAGGCAGCAUACCGGCGCUCAACUGACGCUGAUGCACGAAAGUGUGGGUAUCGAACAGGAUUAGAUACCCGUGUAGUC